rnacentral:lncRNA from 1 species
ACAAUGUUUGGAAGAGAAAAUUGUGGAUAAUUUAUUCGUGCAAUGCGUAUUUAGUAAAUUUCUAAUAAUAACAACUAGUCUUGAACCGACCGUCCCUAAAGUAAGUGGCAAAGGGCUUGGUGGUUGGUAUCCAAGACCUAAGUUCGAAUCCAAGUUGAUUUACAUUUUCAGCUAAGUUUAUUUCUAAAUGAAAUAAACGAAGCGAGUAACGUGCUACCGAUCUCUCAAAAAAAAAAAAAAAAAAAAAACUAGCCUUGAAGGGGAUUCAGUCUAUGAAUUUUGGUGAUGAUGUGACUGUCCUUUAGGAUAAUUGGAUGUUAAUAUAUAGAACUCAGCCUAUUCGUUUUAUACUGACCAGACUGAUAACUUACUAGUGGGUUAUUUGAAAUGUUAGAAACGAUAUGCAUUUAGAAAGAUUAAUGCAAAUCCUUUUUCAGUAGUCAAUAAAAUCAGAUACUUGAAAAUUUUGUGGGAGAAAUUUCUCACGGCAAAGUAGCUACUUUGUAUUCUAUUAACCUUCUUUUUUUGUUCGUCUUAAUUGAGGUCUACUAUCUUACCCCUGCAGCAUAAUUCAUACUUCUAAUGAAUGAAGCGGAUGACAUGCUAUUUUUUUUCUCAAAAAAAAAAAAAUAUGUAGAACAAUUUGAAAAAAUUGUUGAUAUAUUGGAUUUUUUUCAUUAAGGCAUUAUGAUAUUCUAUACAUCUUUCCCUUGCAAUGGAAGAAUAUACAGAUGUUUGUGCAUUUGGAUUUAGAAGUUCAUUUCAACAUUUGUAGUAAUGGUAUCAUACACCUAAUUUGCCAAAUUUGGAGUUACUGUUUCUAGAAGCGCACAAGCUGUUUAAUUAGCAGAUAUUAAUAUGUAACGUAUCUUAUUUGUGUACUUAUAUAUUGACAAUUUGGAGUUUUUCUGUUGCAAUUUAAGUUCUUUUUUAUGAUCACUCUAAAAUUCUUCUCAAAAGCAAUUUGAUAUAUCAGAUUAGAUAAUUUUUGGAAUUGGAUUCUAGAUCAGUUUCAAACCCCAGCUAAAUUCUAAUUACUUAUCAAGUGAGAUAUAUAUAACAUGAGUGCGUGUGAACUAAUUAGUUUAAGCAAUUAAUUUUGAUCUCAAAUGCAGAUUAUUCUAGAGCGAUUUUGACGCGGCGCUGGAUAAGGCUCACUUGUCAUGUACCCAUUGGGCGUUGGUUGGAUAUCACAUCAGAUGCGAUUGCAAUGGUUUGACAUUUGCUCGACGUCGCGGUCUUAGGUUCGAGAAAGUUCUCACUAUGACAGAUAUAUACAGUAGAUGACGAGCUUCUCAAUAGAGUUUUACUGGAGAGCUCUUCGCAUAAGUUUUGUCCGAUCAAACCCGUGUAUAAAGCGUGGUUGGGGUUGGGUCGGCUAAGGAGUCAUCAGAGGAAGAGCCAUAUAUGAUUGGCCCAUUUUGGUUGCCCGAUCGUGCAGGGAACUCCGUAAUUUGCGGUAAGUCAACUUAAACCAUAGAAAAUUAGAAAGAGAAACUGGAAGCUUGAAACCCACUUUCUCAUUAUAAUUCAAUCCAAUCACGUGCAAUCCACUUGGCUUCGCUGUAUCCAUUGACGAAGAAUGCCCAGCUUUAUCUUUUUAUUUUCUCAUUCCCUCUUUUUCAAUAAUUUGUUAUCUCUUUACAAUCUUUUUAUUAAGUAUAAGACUAUUCAGAUUUAAGCUAGUUUUAGCUCUGUUAAUAUGGUUAUCGGAGCGGACUAAGCGCUCCACGAACUACGGAGAUAACAUUAUAAAAAAACUUAGAUAUGAUCGAACACAAUUGAAAAUUAUGGAGAGAACUAGAAAUAGACGAGAUGCGUGACAAAAAAACCAACAAUUAAAGUAAAAAACAAAUAAAAAAUAAGUUAUUUUCCUAAGCAUUUAAUUUUUUUUGUGCUGUUAUGAAUGUUUGGCACAAACAUCGGUACGAAAUGUGAGUUGCCACCAAUUUGACCUCGUCCCCUUUCUCUAGGUUUGCAUCAACAAGGGAGGAAGAUGGUAUAGAGGAUGUUUUAACUUAUGUAACAUUUAUUAAUUUGCUAUUUUCGAAACUGAUAAACUUAUAAAUAUAUAUAUAAAAGAUAUGUUUCCUUUAAUUGAAUGAAAUAUUAUAUUAUGGUUAGAGUCGUGCGCAACAUGACCUGAAACGUUGUGCCAAAUUACCUUUUUGAAUAUUUAAAUUCAACGAAUUAGCUGGCCAUGUGAUCCAGUACAAGGUAGCUGUUUUUGCUGCAUAUGUAUAAUCAGCGAAUAUUAGUUUGCUAAUAAAAAAACCUGUGCUAGUAAUAGUAUGCUUGCACACAAAAUAACUUAGUUGCCCCUAUGUUAAUGCAGAAUUGUCACUUAUAUAGAUCCAGAAGCUAUCUUACAUAAAACAGAGCCCAAAUAAAGGAAAUAAAGAAAAAAAAAAAGGAAGUGGGUUAUAUUAUUGCACAAUCUAAUUACCUAUCUAAAACUUAGAGCCAACAAUGUUUGGAAGAGAAAAUUGUGGAUAAUUUAUUCGUGCAAUGCGUAUUUAGUAAAUUUCUAAUAAUAACAACUAGUCUUGAACCGACCGUCCCUAAAGUAAGUGGCAAAGGGCUUGGUGGUUGGUAUCCAAGACCUAAGUUCGAAUCCAAGUUGAUUUACAUUUUCAGCUAAGUUUAUUUCUAAAUGAAAUAAACGAAGCGAGUAACGUGCUACCGAUCUCUCAAAAAAAAAAAAAAAAAAAACUAGCCUUGAAGGGGAUUCAGUCUAUGAAUUUUGGUGAUGAUGUGACUGUCCUUUAGGAUAAUUGGAUGUUAAUAUAUAGAACUCAGCCUAUUCGUUUUAUACUGACCAGACUGAUAACUUACUAGUGGGUUAUUUGAAAUGUUAGAAACGAUAUGCAUUUAGAAAGAUUAAUGCAAAUCCUUUUUCAGUAG